rnacentral:rRNA from 1 species
UACGUAGGGGGCAAGCGUUGUCCGGAUUUAUUGGGCGUAAAGAGCGUGUAGGCGGCCAAGCGGGUCCGCUGUGAAAACUCGAGGCUCAACCUCGAGACGUCGGUGGAAACCGUUUGGCUAGAGUCCGGAAGAGGAGAGUGGAAUUCCCGGUGUAGCGGUGAAAUGCGCAGAUAUCGGGAAGAACACCCGUGGCGAAGGCGGCUCUCUGGGACGGUACUGACGCUGAGACGCGAAAGCGUGGGGAGCGAACAGG